rnacentral:piRNA from 1 species
UGAGGAUGUGUUUGUAUGUGCCUUUUCUGU